rnacentral:rRNA from 1 species
AACGAACGCUGGCGGCAUGCCUAACACAUGCAAGUCGAACGAGAUCUUCGGGUCUCGUGGCGCUCGGGUGCGUAACGCGUGAGAACCUGCCCUUAGGUUCGGAAUCACUCCCCGAAAGGGGUGCUAAUAUCGGAUAAUGUUUUCGGUCCAAAGAGUUAUCGCCUUUGGAUGGGGCCGCGUUGGAUUAGAUGGUUGGUAGGGUAAAAGCCUACCAAGGCGACGAUCCAUAGCUGGUAUGAGAGGAUGAUCAGCCACACUGGGACUGAGACACGGCCCAGACUCCUACGGGAGGCAGCAGUGGGGAAGAUUGGACACUGGGCGAGUGCCUGAGCCAGCAAUGCCGCGUGAGUGAUGAAGGCCGUAGGGUUGUAAAGCUCUUGUACCCGGGAUGAUAAUGACAGUACCGGGAGAAUAAGCCCCGGCUAACUCCGUG